UACGUAGGGGGCUAGCGUUAUCCGGAAUUACUGGGCGUAAAGGGUGCGUAGGUGGUUUCUUAAGUCAGAGGUGAAAGGCUACGGCUCAACCGUAGUAAGCCUUUGAAACUGGGAAACUUGAGUGCAGGAGAGGAGAAUGGAAUUCCUAGUGUAGCGGUGAAAUGCGUAGAGAUUAGGAAGAACACCAGUGGCGAAGGCGAUUCUCUGAACUGUAACUGACGCUGAGGCUCGAAAGCGUGGGGAGCAAACAGG
rnacentral:rRNA from 1 species